rnacentral:rRNA from 1 species
UACGUAGGGUGCAAGCGUUAAUCGGAAUUACUGGGCGUAAAGCGUGCGCAGGCGGUUUUGUAAGUCUGACGUGAAAUCCCCGGGCUCCAACCUGGGAAUUGCGUUGGAGACUGCAAGGCUAGAAUCUGGCAGAGGGGGGGUAGAAUUCCACGUGUAGCAGUGAAAUGCGUAGAGAUGUGGAGGAACACCGAUGGCGAAGGCAGCCCCCUGGGUCAAGAUUGACGCUCAUGCACGAAAGCGUGGGGAGCAAACAGGAUUAGAAGUACCCUAG